rnacentral:tRNA from 1 species
GGGAGGUUAGCUCAGUUGGUUAGAGCGUUUCAUUGACAUUGAAGAGGUCACAGGUUCGAGUCCUGUACCUCCCACCA